UUUAAUAACACUUAGGUCGUGACCCUAAAAACUAGAGCCACUCUUCCGAACU
rnacentral:tRNA from 1 species